GGUUAAGCGACUAAGCGUACACGGUGGAUGCCCUGGCAGUCAGAGGCGAUGAAGGACGUGCUAAUCUGCGAUAAGCGUCGGUAAGGUGAUAUGAACCGUUAUAACCGGCGAUUUCCGAAUGGGGAAACCCAGUGUGUUUCGACACACUAUCAUUAACUGAAUCCAUAGGUUAAUGAGGCGAACCGGGGGAACUGAAACAUCUAAGUACCCCGAGGAAAAGAAAUCAACCGAGAUUCCCCCAGUAGCGGCGAGCGAACGGGGAGCAGCCCAGAGCCUGAAUCAGUGUGUGUGUUAGUGGAAGCGUCUGGAAAGGCGCGCGAUACAGGGUGACAGCCCCGUACACAAAAAUGCACAUGCUGUGAGCUCGAUGAGUAGGGCGGGACACGUGGUAUCCUGUCUGAAUAUGGGGGGACCAUCCUCCAAGGCUAAAUACUCCUGACUGACCGAUAGUGAACCAGUACCGUGAGGGAAAGGCGAAAAGAACCCCGGCGAGGGGAGUGAAAAAGAACCUGAAACCGUGUACGUACAAGCAGUGGGAGCACGCUUAGGCGUGUGACUGCGUACCUUUUGUAUAAUGGGUCAGCGACUUAUAUUGUGUAGCAAGGUUAACCGAAUAGGGGAGCCGAAGGGAAACCGAGUCUUAACUGGGCGUUAAGUUGCAGGGUAUAGACCCGAAACCCGGUGAUCUAGCCAUGGGCAGGUUGAAGGUUGGGUAACACUAACUGGAGGACCGAACCGACUAAUGUUGAAAAAUUAGCGGAUGACUUGUGGCUGGGGGUGAAAGGCCAAUCAAACCGGGAGAUAGCUGGUUCUCCCCGAAAGCUAUUUAGGUAGCGCCUCGUGAAUUCAUCUCCGGGGGUAGAGCACUGUUUCGGCAAGGGGGUCAUCCCGACUUACCAACCCGAUGCAAACUGCGAAUACCGGAGAAUGUUAUCACGGGAGACACACGGCGGGUGCUAACGUCCGUCGUGAAGAGGGAAACAACCCAGACCGCCAGCUAAGGUCCCAAAGUCAUGGUUAAGUGGGAAACGAUGUGGGAAGGCCCAGACAGCCAGGAUGUUGGCUUAGAAGCAGCCAUCAUUUAAAGAAAGCGUAAUAGCUCACUGGUCGAGUCGGCCUGCGCGGAAGAUGUAACGGGGCUAAACCAUGCACCGAAGCUGCGGCAGCGACGCUUAUGCGUUGUUGGGUAGGGGAGCGUUCUGUAAGCCUGUGAAGGUGUGCUGUGAGGCAUGCUGGAGGUAUCAGAAGUGCGAAUGCUGACAUAAGUAACGAUAAAGCGGGUGAAAAGCCCGCUCGCCGGAAGACCAAGGGUUCCUGUCCAACGUUAAUCGGGGCAGGGUGAGUCGACCCCUAAGGCGAGGCCGAAAGGCGUAGUCGAUGGGAAACAGGUUAAUAUUCCUGUACUUGGUGUUACUGCGAAGGGGGGACGGAGAAGGCUAUGUUGGCCGGGCGACGGUUGUCCCGGUUUAAGCGUGUAGGCUGGUUUUCCAGGCAAAUCCGGAAAAUCAAGGCUGAGGCGUGAUGACGAGGCACUACGGUGCUGAAGCAACAAAUGCCCUGCUUCCAGGAAAAGCCUCUAAGCAUCAGGUAACAUCAAAUCGUACCCCAAACCGACACAGGUGGUCAGGUAGAGAAUACCAAGGCGCUUGAGAGAACUCGGGUGAAGGAACUAGGCAAAAUGGUGCCGUAACUUCGGGAGAAGGCACGCUGAUAUGUAGGUGAAGUCCCUCGCGGAUGGAGCUGAAAUCAGUCGAAGAUACCAGCUGGCUGCAACUGUUUAUUAAAAACACAGCACUGUGCAAACACGAAAGUGGACGUAUACGGUGUGACGCCUGCCCGGUGCCGGAAGGUUAAUUGAUGGGGUCAGCGCAAGCGAAGCUCUUGAUCGAAGCCCCGGUAAACGGCGGCCGUAACUAUAACGGUCCUAAGGUAGCGAAAUUCCUUGUCGGGUAAGUUCCGACCUGCACGAAUGGCGUAAUGAUGGCCAGGCUGUCUCCACCCGAGACUCAGUGAAAUUGAACUCGCUGUGAAGAUGCAGUGUACCCGCGGCAAGACGGAAAGACCCCGUGAACCUUUACUAUAGCUUGACACUGAACAUUGAGCCUUGAUGUGUAGGAUAGGUGGGAGGCUUGGAAGUGUGGACGCCAGUCUGCAUGGAGCCGACCUUGAAAUACCACCCUUUAAUGUUUGAUGUUCUAACGUUGACCCGUAAUCCGGGUUGCGGACAGUGUCUGGUGGGUAGUUUGACUGGGGCGGUCUCCUCCUAAAGAGUAACGGAGGAGCACGAAGGUUGGCUAAUCCUGGUCGGACAUCAGGAGGUUAGUGCAAUGGCAUAAGCCAGCUUGACUGCGAGCGUGACGGCGCGAGCAGGUGCGAAAGCAGGUCAUAGUGAUCCGGUGGUUCUGAAUGGAAGGGCCAUCGCUCAACGGAUAAAAGGUACUCCGGGGAUAACAGGCUGAUACCGCCCAAGAGUUCAUAUCGACGGCGGUGUUUGGCACCUCGAUGUCGGCUCAUCACAUCCUGGGGCUGAAGUAGGUCCCAAGGGUAUGGCUGUUCGCCAUUUAAAGUGGUACGCGAGCUGGGUUUAGAACGUCGUGAGACAGUUCGGUCCCUAUCUGCCGUGGGCGCUGGAGAACUGAGGGGGGCUGCUCCUAGUACGAGAGGACCGGAGUGGACGCAUCACUGGUGUUCGGGUUGUCAUGCCAAUGGCACUGCCCGGUAGCUAAAUGCGGAAGAGAUAAGUGCUGAAAGCAUCUAAGCACGAAACUUGCCCCGAGAUGAGUUCUCCCUGACUCCUUGAGAGUCCUGAAGGAACGUUGAAGACGACGACGUUGAUAGGCCGGGUGUGUAAGCGCAGCGAUGCGUUGAGCUAACCGGUACUAAUGAACCGUGAGGCUUAACCUU
rnacentral:rRNA from 1 species